UCAACUAAUUUCAAGUUUUUAAAAAAGUCUUUCUUCUGUCCUAGUGGCAUAGGGGAGCAUAGGCUCUGCCCCAUGAUGUACAGUCCCUUUCCACAAGGUUGGAGAUGAAGCUGGGCUUCAAGUCUGCAUAGUCCUACUACUUCUCAGAGUCCUGUGGACAAUGACUGAGAAGACAAACCAUGUAGGAAACAGUC
ensembl:snoRNA SNORA73 Small nucleolar RNA SNORA73 family